rnacentral:rRNA from 1 species
AGCAAACGCUGGCGGCGUGCCUAAUACAUGCAAGUCGAACGGGGAAAGUAGCAAUACGAGUACUAGUGGCGCACGGGUGAGGAACACGUGGGUAAUCUGCCUUCGAGCGGGGGAUAACUAGUCGAAAGAUUAGCUAAUACCGCAUAAGACCACAAUGUCUGAGGACAAAGGGGUCAAAGUCGCAAGACACUUGAAGAUGAGCCCGCGUAAGAUUAGCUAGUUGGUGAGGUAAUGGCUCACCAAGGCGAUGAUCUUUAGCUGGUCUGAGAGGAUGAUCAGCCACACUGGAACUGAGACACGGUCCAGACUCCUACGGGAGGCAGCAGUAGGGAAUAUUGCGCAAUGGGGGAAACCCUGACGCAGCGACGCCGCGUGAGUGAUGAAGGCCUUCGGGUCGUAAAGCUCUGUUAUAUGGGAAUAAGAUCUGAAUGUACCGUGUGAGAAAGGAUCGGCUAACUUCGUGCCAGCCGCCGCCGUAA